GACGAACCGUGCGAACGUUAUUCGGAAUCACUGGGCUUAAAGCGCGUGUAGGCGGAUAGGGACGUCGGUCGCUGAAAUCCCCCGGCUCAACCGGGGAACGGGCACCGAAACGCCCUGUCUGGAGGGACGUAGGGGGACCUGGAACUUCCGGUGGAGCGGUGAAAUGCGUUGAGAUCGGAAGGAACGCCCGUGGCGAAAGCGAGGUCCUGGACGUCUUCUGACGCUGAGACGCGAAAAGCUAGGGGGAGCGAACGGGG
rnacentral:rRNA from 1 species